rnacentral:lncRNA from 1 species
AAUCCAAAAAAAAUCCAAAAAACCCCCAAAAAAUCCUUGAAAAAAAACCCCAAAAAAUCUCUGAAAAAAAACAAAAAAAUCCCAAAAAAAUCCCUGACAAAACCCCUCAAAAAUCCCAAAAAAUCCCCAAAAAAUCCCCAAAAAAUCCCAAAAAAUCCAAAAAACCCCCCAAAAAUCCUUGAGAAAAACCCCAAAAAAUCUCUGAAAAAAUCCCAAAAAAAUCCCCAAAAAAUCCCAAAAAAUCCAAAAAACCCCCAAAAAAUCCUUGAGAAAAACCCCAAAAAAUCUCUGAAAAAAACCAAAAAAAUCCCCCAAAAAUCCCCCCAAAAAAACCCCUCAAAAAUCCCAAAAAAAUCCCAAAAAAUCCCAAAAAAAUCGCAAAAAAUACCCAAAAAAUUCCCAAAAAGUCCCAAAAAAAUCCCCCAAAAAAUCCCCAAAAAAUCCAAAAAAAUUCCAAAAAAAUCCCCAAAAAAAUCCCCAAAACAUCCCAAAAAAUCCCCAAAAAAUCCAAAAAAAUCCCAAAAAAUCCCAAAAAAUCCCCAAAAAAUCCCAAAAAAUCCCCAAAAAAUCCAAAAAAAUUCCAAAAAAAUCCCCCAAAAAAUCCCAAAAAAUUCCAAAAAAAUCCCAAAAAAAUCCCCAAAAAAUCCCAAAAAAUCCCCAAAAAAUCCAAAAAAAUCCCAAAAAAUCCCAAAAAAUCCCAAAAAAAUCCCAAAAAAAUCCCCAAAAAAUCCCCCAAAAAUCCCAAAAAAAUCCCCAAAAAAUCCCAAAAAAAUCCCCAAAAAAUCCCCAAAAAAUCCCCAAAAAAUCCAAAAAAAUCCAAAAAAAUCCCCAAAAAAAUCCCAAAAAAUCCCCCAAAAAUCAAAAAAAAUCCAAAAAAAAUCCCAAAAAAUCCCCAAAAAAUCCCAAAAAAAUCCCAAAAAAUCCCAAAAAAAUCCCCAAAAAAAUCCCCAAAAAAUCCCCAUAAAAUCCAAAAAAAAUCCAAAAAAACCCCAAAAAAUCCUUGAAAAAAACCCCAAAAAAUCUCUGAAAAAAACCCCAAAAAAAUCCCCCAAAAAAUCCCAAAAAAUCCCCAAAAAAUCCCCCAAAAAAUCCCCAAAAAAUCCAAAAAAAUUCCAAAAAAAUCCCCAAAAAAAUCCCAAAAAAUCCCAAAAAAAUCCCAAAAAAAUCCAAAAAAAUUCCAAAAAAAUCCCCAAAAAAAUCCCCCAAAAAUCCCAAAAAAUCCCCAAAAAAUCCAAAAAAAAUCCAAAAAAAUCCCCCAAAAAAUCCCAAAAAAUCCCCCAAAAAUCAAAAAAAUCCAAAAAAAAUCCCAAAAAAUCCCCAAAAAAUCCCAAAAAAAUCCCAAAAAAU